rnacentral:rRNA from 1 species
AACGAACGCUGGCGGCAUGCCUAACACAUGCAAGUCGAACGAGACCUUCGGGUCUAUUGGCGCACGGUUUCGUCACGCGUGGGAACCUGCCCUUAGGUUCGGAAUAACUCCCCGAAUGGGGUGCUAACACCGGAUAAUGUCUUCUGACCAAUGAUUUAUGGCCUUUGGAUGGUCCCGCGUUGGAUUAGCUAGUUGGUAGGGUAAGAGCCUACCAAGGCGACGAUCCAUAGCUGGUCUGAGAGGAUGGUCAGCCACACUGGGACUGAGACACGGCCCAGACUCCUACGGGAGGCGGCAGUGGGGAAUAUUGGACAAUGGGCGAAAGCCUGAUCCAGCAAUGCCGCGUGAGUGAUGAAGGCCUUAGGGUUGUAAAGCUCUUUUACCCGGGAUGAUAAUGACAGUACCGGGAGAAUAAGCUCCGGCUAACUCCGUG